GCAGUCGAACGAACUCUGGUAUUGAUUGGUGCUUGCAUCAUGAUUUACAUUUGAGUGAGUGGCGAACUGGUGAGUAACACGUGGGAAACCUGCCCAGAAGCGGGGGAUAACACCUGGAAACAGAUGCUAAUACCGCAUAACAACUUGGACCGCAUGGUCCGAGCUUGAAAGAUGGCUUCGGCUAUCACUUUUGGAUGGUCCCGCGGCGUAUUAGCUAGAUGGUGGGGUAACGGCUCACCAUGGCAAUGAUACGUAGCCGACCUGAGAGGGUAAUCGGCCACAUUGGGACUGAGACACGGCCCAAACUCCUACGGGAGGCAGCAGUAGGGAAUCUUCCACAAUGGACGAAAGUCUGAUGGAGCAACGCCGCGUGAGUGAAGAAGGGUUUCGGCUCGUAAAACUCUGUUGUUAAAGAAGAACAUAUCUGAGAGUAACUGUUCAGGUAUUGACGGUAUUUAACCAGAAAGCCACGGCUAACUACGUGCCAGCAGCCGCGGUAAUACGUAGGUGGCAAGCGUUGUCCGGAUUUAUUGGGCGUAAAGCGAGCGCAGGCGGUUUUUUAAGUCUGAUGUGAAAGCCUUCGGCUCAACCGAAGAAGUGCAUCGGAAACUGGGAAACUUGAGUGCAGAAGAGGACAGUGGAACUCCAUGUGUAGCGGUGAAAUGCGUAGAUAUAUGGAAGAACACCAGUGGCGAAGGCGGCUGUCUGGUCUGUAACUGACGCUGAGGCUCGAAAGUAUGGGUAGCAAACAGGAUUAGAUACCCUGGUAGUCCAUACCGUAAACGAUGAAUGCUAAGUGUUGGAGGGUUUCCGCCCUUCAGUGCUGCAGCUAACGCAUUAAGCAUUCCGCCUGGGGAGUACGGCCGCAAGGCUGAAACUCAAAGGAAUUGACGGGGGCCCGCACAAGCGGUGGAGCAUGUGGUUUAAUUCGAAGCUACGCGAAGAACCUUACCAGGUCUUGACAUACUAUGCAAAUCUAAGAGAUUAGACGUUCCCUUCGGGGACAUGGAUACAGGUGGUGCAUGGUUGUCGUCAGCUCGUGUCGUGAGAUGUUGGGUUAAGUCCCGCAACGAGCGCAACCCUUAUUAUCAGUUGCCAGCAUUAAGUUGGGCACUCUGGUGAGACUGCCGGUGACAAACCGGAGGAAGGUGGGGAUGACGUCAAAUCAUCAUGCCCCUUAUGACCUGGGCUACACACGUGCUACAAUGGAUGGUACAACGAGUUGCGAACUCGCGAGAGUAAGCUAAUCUCUUAAAGCCAUUCUCAGUUCGGAUUGUAGGCUGCAACUCGCCUACAUGAAGUCGGAAUCGCUAGUAAUCGCGGAUCAGCAUGCCGCGGUGAAUACGUUCCCGGGCCUUGUACACACCGCCCGUCACACCAUGAGAGUUUGUAACACCCAAAGUCGGUGGGGUAA
rnacentral:rRNA from 3 species